GCGGGCAUGGCGGAAUGGCAGACGCACUAGGUUCAGGACCUAGUGAGAGCAAUCUCGUGGAGGUUCAACUCCUCCUGCCCGCA
rnacentral:tRNA from 1 species